UGGUCUGUUGUGAGUUCUUGGG
rnacentral:misc_RNA from 1 species